rnacentral:tRNA from 1 species
GAGGGUAUAGCUAUCAGUAGAGUGUGUGCCUAGGAUGCACAAGGUCCUGGGUUCAAUCCCCAGCAUCUCCA